rnacentral:lncRNA from 1 species
CUCUGCUUCGCGCAGUGAGCGGCAUCUGCCUCUGCCAAAAACCAAAAACGAGACUUAAAACCAAAAUGUAUGUAUCACGUUAAAUAAAAUAUUUUACCAUAGCAAAUAUAUAGAAAUAAAAUAGAAUAAAGAAUAUCAAAUUAAACACCUUCCAUAGGGUAUUCCAGGCCCAAAUAAUGAUGUAAAGAUUGAAGAACUGCUCCCCAAACCACUACGAGCUUACUUAUGUUCCCUUAUCAACCCACGCUUUCUGCUAUUUUCAUUUCUCUAGCUCUGAGAUCUAGCCGACAAACAAGACGGACGGACGGACGGACGGACAGACAGACAUGGCUCUAUCGACUCGGCUAUUGAUGCUGAUAAAGAAUAUAUAUACUUUAUGGGGUCGGAAACGUUUCCUUCUGUGUGUUACAUACAACUAUAACUAUUUACUCUUCGAGUACCGGGUAUAAAAAUUUAUAAAUUUAAAAAAUUGGAAACGUGCAAAAGUGG